AACGAACGCUGGCGGCAUGCCUAACACAUGCAAGUCGAACGAAGCCUUCGGGCUUAGUGGCGCACGGGUGCGUAACGCGUGGGAAUCUGCCCUUGGGUUCGGAAUAACAGUUAGAAAUGACUGCUAAUACCGAAUGAUGUCUUCGGACCAAAGAUUUAUCGCCCAAGGAUGAGCCCGCGUCGGAUUAGCUAGUUGGUGAGGUAAAGGCUCACCAAGGCGACGAUCCGUAGCUGGUCUGAGAGGAUGAUCAGCCACACUGGGACUGAGACACGGCCCAGACUCCUACGGGAGGCAGCAGUGGGGAAUAUUGGACAAUGGGGGCAACCCUGAUCCAGCAAUGCCGCGUGAGUGAUGAAGGCCUUAGGGUUGUAAAGCUCUUUUGCCAGGGAGAUGAUGACUGUACCUGGAGAAUAAGCCCCGGCUAACUUCGUGCCAGCAGCCGCGGUAAU
rnacentral:rRNA from 1 species